rnacentral:pre_miRNA from 1 species
UUCCUACUCCCUUCGUCCGAAAAUACUUGUCAUCAAAAUGGAUAAAAAUAGAUGUAUCUAGAACUAAAAUAUGUCUAGAUACAUCCUCUUUUAUUCAUUUUGAAGACAAAUAUUUUCGGACGGAAGGAGUACUUG